rnacentral:rRNA from 1 species
CAGCAGCCGCGGGAAUACGUAGGUGGCGAGCAUUGUCCGGAAUUAUUGGGCGUAAAGGGAGCGCAGGCGGGCGAGUAAGUCUUUCUUAAGAGUGCGGGGCUCAACCCCGUGAGGGGAGAGAAACUACUCAUCUUGAGUGCAGGAGAGGAAAGCGGAAUUCCUAGUGUAGCGGUGAAAUGCGUAGAUAUUAGGAAGAACUCCAGUGGCGAAGGCGGCUUUCUGGACUGUAACUGACGCUGAGGCUCGAAAGCCAGGGGAGCGAACGGGAUUAGAUACCCCCGUAGUCCCUGUCUCUUAUACA